rnacentral:rRNA from 1 species
UACAGAGGGUGCGAGCGUUAAUCGGAAUUACUGGGCGUAAAGCGUGCGUAGACGGUUAUUUAAGUCGGGUGUGAAAAGCCCCGGGCUCAACCUGGGAAUUGCAUUCGAGACUGAAUAGCUAGGGUACGGUAGAGGGAAGUGGAAUUUCCGGUGUAGCGGUGAAAUGCGUAGAUAUCUGGAGGAACACCGGUGGCGAAGGCGGCAUCCUGGGCCCGGUAUUGACGCUGAGGAGCGAAAGCCAGGGGAGCAACGGG